UGACGACCAUGAUUUUUUUUGUUUUGUUUUUUGAAAACAUGGCAUUUGUUUGAAUUUUUAUGUGAUGGCAAGUUAAUAUGCACCCCCGCUGCAAAACUUGCCAUGUUUUUAGCUUGGGAAACAACAAUAUUUUCCAUGGCAAAUUCAUACAAUUUGCCAUCAUAUAGCAGUAGAGAUGUCAUGGCAAAUUUUCAACCAAUUUUUUUACCUUGGGUAUAUUCAAUAUGCAGUUUUUGCUUUGGCAUUGUUUACUACUUGGACCAUGGUAAUUCCAGUACUUUUAGACCAUAAUUUUCAUAAUCAGAUCAAUAAUAGCAAUUUUAAUAGAAAUCAUUCAUAUACAACAACUCUAUCAAACUUGUUGCGCCAUGGCAUUACAUAUAUAUGUAUAUAUAUCAUUUUGUACAAUACUUUUCCAUAUACACUUUGCAAACUUGUUGCCAUGGCAAAAAAUCCAGACACAAGUUAAAUUGUUUUUGUUGGCACGUAUGUACUAUACGGCAACCGUAUUGUUUUUAAUUUUUAUAAACACAUGUUCUUGGUGCUGUUUUUUGGCUUGUUUUAGUGAAGCAAUAGGUAACUGGGCUGCACGUGCUUUUUUUCAUUGCUGGGCUGGCUAGUUCAGCGUCAUUUUGUGCCAACAGGAAAUCAUUCGGUAUGGGAUCGAUCCCGCACGGAACAUGUACGUUGACACAGGGUGUGUGGUAGGAUGCUCCUCCUGCCACACGUGUGGGCGGUUCUAAUAUCCGUCCACACAUGGCACGUGUGGGCUGUCUCCUGCUCACACCACACACGGUGUGUGGGCGGAUGUUGCUCCCACCACACAUGCAGGGUUGUGUGGGCUGCCUGCUGGAUAUGCCACACAGGCUUGUGUGGGCGAGUGUCCAUUGUGCCACACGUGUGGCAGUUAUCGCGACCCUAUUUUUUGACCAUGACAAUUUACUUUCAUGGAGCAUAGGCAACUGUAGUUUACGGAGCAUGGCAAUUUCUUUUGUUUGCUACAUGUCCAAAAAUCACUUUUGUUUGGACCACAGAUGUUAGUUUAAUAUAUCGUGGCAAAUAUAGUUUAUGGAACAUGUCAAUUUUAUUAUAUGGACCAUGGCGAAUGUCUUCUCUUUUUUUUGGCAGCAUGGCAUUUUUGGUUUUGAACGGGACCAUGGCAAAUUUAGUGAAUGCAUCAUGGGAAUUAUAGUUUAUGGAUCAUGGCAUUCUUUAGUCUAUGCCUCAUACAAAUUUUCUAUUUUUGAAUGGGACCAUGGCAAAUUUUCUUUCAUGGCAGUUCGUGGAGCAUGGCAAUUUUUCGUCCUUCUUUGCAACAGGGAAAUUUUUCUUUUUGAAUGGGACCUUGGCAAACUUAGUGUAUGUAUCAUGGCAAAUGUAGUUUACGGGGCAUGGCAAAUUUUUAAUUAUAUGAACCAUGGCAAAUUUUCUUUCUUUAUUGCAACAUGGCAAAUUUUCUUUUUUCAAUGGGACCAUGGCAAUCUCAGUGCACCUUUCAUGGCAACGGUAGUUUAUGGAGCAUGGCAGAUUUUCUUCCUUCUUUUACAAGGUUGCAAAUUUUGUUUUCGAACAGGACCAUGGCAAACUUAGUGUGUGUAUCAUGGCAAAUGCAAUUUUCGAAGCAUGGCAAUUUCCAAUUUUAAGGUCCAUGGUAAAUUUUCUUUCCUUUUUUGCAACAUGGCAAAUUUUCUUCUUUCAAGGGACCAUGGCAAAUUUAAUGGGACCAUGGCAACAUUAGAUUUACUCAUGCCUCAAAAAUAGAUACCAUCGCAAUUUUAUUUGCCCCAUGGCAAAUUAAGUUCAAGCAUGGCAAAUGUAGUUUAAGGGUCAUGGCAAUGUUCUUUUCCUUUAGCAACACGGCAAAAUCUACUUUUCAUUUGACCAUGGCAAUGUAACUCCUCCCCCGGCCUAGACGUCGACUAAGAUGCCGACCAGGAGGUCGUCCUCCAUGAUGACGACCAUGAUUUUUUUGUUUUGUUUUUUGAAAAAAGGCAUUUGUUUGAAUUUUUAUGUGAUGGCAAGUUAAUAUGCACCCCCGCUGCAAAACUUGCCAUGUUUUUAGCUUGGGAAACAACAAUAUUUUCCAUGGCAAAUUCAUACAAUUUGCCAUCAUAUAGCAGUAGAGAUGUCAUGGCAAAUUUUCAACUAAUUUUUUUACCUUGGGUAUA
rnacentral:lncRNA from 1 species